ensembl:lncRNA
GUCAGAGAAUAGUGCAAUGCAACUUCUAAACAAACCGAUGAAUCUGGUUCACUACUUGUUUACAGAACAACGAGGUACAAACUAUCUCAUUGUUACAUUCUUACACCUACUUUGUAAUUCACAGUGUUCUUUCUGUGGGACUAUUAGUAUUCUGGGAGCUCACGUUGCUGUUUGCCUUGCUGUGCACAGAUUGCUGUCCGGAUUUUGGUACCUGCGUGUCUGGCUUCAUCUCCGUGCACCGGGGGGCUCGGAGCCCGGCGUCCCAGCCAACGGGCUGGAAGGAACAUCAGCCGGGAGGCAGGGGAACAGGCAGCGAGAGCGAACAGGGGUUAUUAAUGGUGACCGCUGGAGCCCGGCAGAAUGACAAAACAGGGGGAAACAAACAGCGUGUGAAAUGCACACCUGUCUGCGGAGUCUCGGAGGGGGCCGUGAAGGAGAAGUGGCACCUGUCUGUUCCUGCACGCUGGAUUCUCACCGGAUAUUGUACACCUGGGAAUUCACUCUCACCGUCCUCACGCCCGUUCCUGCCGCUCACCGACCCUUGUGUCAUUGAAUAAAUCCGACUUGCACCUGCUUUUCUGGGCGACUGUGGUGCGUAGGCGCAAGCGACAGUGUGAGCAUUCCUCUCAGCGACUCGUAUUGAGACAACUCUGCCAUCGUCUGGGGAGACGUCCAACACAGCAGCGCUGAGCUGGGGACUGGAGGACUUCCC